UUAGAAGUUGAUACAAAUGAAAUAUAUCAUGAAGAUUCAAAAGAGACACUAGUAAGGAAACUCUAUAGGCCAUUUCUCCUACUCUCUGAAGGAUCUAGUACAUACUAAUAAAAUGACACAUAAGCUUUUGCGACUUUAACGCAUGAACAACACCAGUCACUGGAGUGAGUCUCAAGAACAUAAGAUCCCUCUCUUGAAAUUAAAGUGUCUUCAUUCGCUUAUCAUGAUAAUAAUUAUGUCUGCUGUGUGAUGCCUCCAUCUUCU
rnacentral:lncRNA from 1 species